UGCAGUCGAGGGGUAACAUUGUGCUUGCACAGAUGACGACUAGCGCACGGGUGCGUAACGCGUAUAGAAUCUACCUUUUACAGGGGGAUAGCCUUUAGAAAUGAAGAUUAAUAUCCCAUAGUAUUGAGACUUGGCAUCAAGACUUAAUUAAAGAUUUAUCGGUAAAAGAUGACUAUGCGUCCUAUUAGCUAGAUGGUAAGGUAAUGGCUUACCAUGGCUACGAUAGGUAGGGGUCCUGAGAGGGAGAUCCCCCACACUGGUACUGAGACACGGACCAGACUCCUACGGGAGGCAGCAGUGAGGAAUAUUGGGCAAUGGAGGAAACUCUGACCCAGCCAUGCCGCGUGCAGGAAGACUGCCCUAUGGGUUGUAAACUGCUUUUAUACAGGAAGAAACACUGGUAUGUAUACCAGCUUGACGGUACUGUAAGAAUAAGGACCGGCUAACUCCGUGCCAGCAGCCGCGGUAAUACGGAGGGUCCGAGCGUUAUCCGGAAUCAUUGGGUUUAAAGGGUCCGCAGGCGGUCAAUUAAGUCAGAGGUGAAAUCCCAUAGCUUAACUAUGGAACUGCCUUUGAUACUGGUUGACUUGAGUCAUAUGGAAGUAGAUAGAAUGUGUAGUGUAGCGGUGAAAUGCAUAGAUAUUACACAGAAUACCGAUUGCGAAGGCAGUCUACUACGUAUGUACUGACGCUCAUGGACGAAAGCGUGGGGAGCGAACAGGAUUAGAUACCCUGGUAGUCCACGCCGUAAACGAUGGAUACUAGUUGUUGGGCAUAAGUUCAGUGACUAAGCGAAAGUGAUAAGUAUCCCACCUGGGGAGUACGGUCGCAAGACUGAAACUCAAAGGAAUUGACGGGGGCCCGCACAAG
rnacentral:rRNA from 1 species